GACGAACGCUGGCGGUGUGCUUAACACAUGCAAGUCGAACGGUAAGGCCCUUUCGGGGGUACACGAGUGGCGAACGGGUGAGUAACACGUGAGUAACCUGCCCUCAUCUCUGGGAUAACAGUCGGAAACGGUUGCUAAUACUGGAUAUGAGCUUGCAAGGCAUCUUGUGGGUUGGAAAGAUUUUUUUUGGUUGGGGAUGGACUCGCGGCCUAUCAGCUUGUUGGUGAGGUAGUGGCUCACCAAGGCUUCGACGGGUAGCCGGCCUGAGAGGGCGACCGGCCACAUUGGGACUGAGCGACGGCCCAAACUCCUACGGGAGGCAGCAGUGGGGAAUAUUGCACAAUGGACGGAAGUCUGAUGCAGCAACGCCGCGGGCGGGAUGACGGCCUUCGGGUUGUAAACCGCUUUCAAUUGUGACGAAGCUUUUUUGUGACGGUAGCAGUAGAAGAAGCACCGGCUAACUACGUG
rnacentral:rRNA from 1 species